CGUUACACAUGGUUUUAUUUCAUGACUUCACGUAGUGAGGUGUUGUCUAUUUAUAAGCGUUUUGCUGCCAUGGUUCAUACUCAGUUCUCUUCACCCAUUCGUGUUUUUCGUGCUGACUCCGCUGGCGAGUAUAUCUCUAAGAUGUUGUGUGGUGUUCUUGCUGAGCAGGGUACUCUUGCCCAGUUCUCUUGUCCUGGUGCUCAUGCUCAGAAUGGCGUGUCUGAGCGCAAGCAUCGUCACCUUCUUGAGACGGCUCGUGCUAUGAUGAUCGCCGCCUCUCUUCCGCCUCAUUUUUGGGCCGAGGCUAUCUCCACUUCCGCCUAUCUCAUCAACCUUCAGCCGUCCGCUGCUUUGCAGGGUGGUGUUCCUUUUGAGCGUCUUUUUGAUCGUUCUCCCGAUUAUUCGAUGCUUCGCUUGUUUGGUUGUGUUUGCUAUGUUCUUCUUGCCCCUCGCGAACGCACCAAACUGACCGCUCAGUCUGUUGAGUGUGUCUUCUUAGGCUACAGUGAUGAGCAUAAGGGCUAUCGUUGUUGGGAUCCUAUCGGUCGUCGGAUGCGUAUCUCUCGAGACGUGACUUUUGAUGAGUCUCGUCCUUUCUACCCACGCCCAUCUUCCUCGUUUUUUUUAGUGGAUGAUAUCUCUUUCCUCACUUUUCCUGACUCACCUAUCACCCCCGUCGCGCCUGUGCCUAUUCGUUCCACUCCCUCUACUUCUCCACCCCUCGUCGAUUCGCCGCCACCAUCUUCCCCGGUCUCCUCACCUAGCAUGUCACCGGAUUCUACACCUUCAUCUCCGGUGACUUCUUCGUCGCCACCCCCCGAUUCUACCUUGGCGAUUCCUCCUUCUCUUGUUCCAUCUUUUCCUCAGCAUUACACUCGUCGUUCACGACCUGUGGAUGCUUCCUUGGAUGAGUCGUCCUCUUCCUCUCAGCCUACUUAUGGCUUGCGUUCUCGUCCUCGUCCGCCUAUUGAUCGCUUUGGAUUUCCCACUGCUGGUGCUGCUGUUCUUGAGCCGACUUCUUAUCGUCAGGUUGUUGUUCAUCCUGAAUGGCAGUUUGCGAUGGCAGAGGAGAUUGCUUCUCUUGAACGCACUGGUACCUGGGAUCUUGUUUCUCUUCCUCCCGGAGUCCGUCGCAUCACUUGUAAGUGGGUCUACAAGGUUAAGACUCGCUCCGAUGGUUCUCUUGAGCGUCACAAAGCUCGUCUCGUGGCUCGUGGUUUUCAGCAGGAGCAUGGUCGUGAUUAUGACGAGACUUUUGCUCCUGUGGCCCAUAUGACCACUAUUCGUACACUUCUUGCCGUUGCCUCUGCACGCCACUGGUCUAUAUCUCAGCUUGAUGUUAAGAAUGCCUUUCUUAAUGGUGAGCUGCGUGAGGAGGUGUACAUGCAGCCACCACCUGGGUAUUCUGUUCCUGAUGGCAUGGUGUGUCGUCUUCGUCGCUCUCUCUAUGGCCUUAAGCAAGCCCCUCGCGCCUGGUUUGAGCGUUUUGCCUCUGUGGUCACUACUGCUGGUUUUUCAGCAAGUGCUCAUGAUCCAGCAUUGUUUAUUCACCUUUCUCCUCGUGGCCGGACUCUUCUUCUUCUCUAUGUUGAUGAUAUGGUCAUCACUGGGGAUGACCCCGAGUAUAUUGCCUUUGUAAAGGCCCGUCUUAGUGAGCAGUUUCUUAUGUCUGAUCUUGGACCUCUUUGCUACUUUCUUGGGAUUGAAGUCUCUUCUACCUCUGAUGGCUUUUUUAUAUCCCAGGAAAAGUAUAUCCAGGAUCUUCUUGCUCGUGCUGCUCUUACUGACGAGCGCAUUGUUGAGACUCCUAUGGAGCUCAAUGUUCACCUCCUUGCUACUGAUGGUGAUCCUCUCCCUGACCCGACGCGUUAUCGUCAUCUUGUUGGCAGUCUUGUCUAUCUAGCUGUCACUCGUCCGGACAUCUCUUAUCCGGUUCAUAUUCUGAGUCAGUUUGUCUCUGCUCCCACAUCGGUUCACUAUAGUCAUCUCCUUCGUGUUCUCCGAUAUCUUCGGGGCACGAUCUCU
rnacentral:rRNA from 1 species